rnacentral:rRNA from 1 species
CAGCAGCCGCGGUAAUACAGAGGGUGCGAGCGUUAAUCGGAUUUACUGGGCGUAAAGCGUGCGUAGGCGGCUUCUUAAGUCGGAUGUGAAAUCCCUAAGCUUAACUUAGGAAUUGCAUUCGAUACUGGGAAGCUAGAGUAUGGGAGAGGAUGGUAGAAUUCCAGGUGUAGCGGUGAAAUGCGUAGAGAUCUGGAGGAAUACCGAUGGCGAAGGCAGCCAUCUGGCCUAAUACUGACGCUGAGGUACGAAAGCAUGGGGAGCAAACAGGAUUAGAUACCCCAGUAGUCCCUGUCUCUUAUAC